UAGGAGUCGGAGGAUGAAACGGCGGCAGCUCCGACAAGAAGGCGGUGCCGCCGGAGGAGGAGGAGGAGAAGGACAUAGUAGCGUUACUGAGCUGGGGGGGUUGCGAUUGCGAGCCUAGAAUUAAUCCUUAUUUUUCUGCUUCGGAGCUUGACAUUCACCAUCAUCAUCAUCAUCAUCAUCUUGUACAGAAACCGCCUAUUUAUUCGAAGCAUUAAUAAACAGCGAUCGAUGCUAAUUUGGCAGUCUCUCGUUUCUGUUGACGAUGUUCUCUGCUCGGAGAAGCUUCCCGUCGGAUUUUCUCCCAUGUUCUGUUUUUGAGCUAGUGAGUGAGUGAGUGAGCUGUCUGUCUCUGACUACCUUUAGCUCUUGAAGAGGUUGUUAAGAUUGGACAAGGUGACGGAGCAGGACGGCUCAACCUUCUUCAACAACAAGUCUGACCCCAUGGAGGUUGGAGUAAUGGAACGAUCCAUGUCUAACAGUCUGGUGAAAAUGAACCCCCUCCUCGGUUGUCCGAACUGUCUGGUGAGAACGUCUCUUUGUAUAUGUUAAAUAUGUUUUUGAGCUAGUGAGUGAGUGAGUGAGCUGUCCGUCUCUGCCUACUUUUAUUGAAGAGGUUGUUAAGAUUGGGCAGCAAGGUGACGGAGCAGGACGGCUCAACCGUCUUCAACAACAAGCCUGACCUCCUCCGUGGAGGUUGGAGGAAUGGACUGAUCCAUGCCGAAGCGCGCCGAAAGUGAACCUCCUCCGCGGCGAAAACUCUGCUGAAAGUGAACCCUCCUCCGCGGCUACUCACAUUCAGGAGCGCGCCGAGGCUUCCGUCGAUGACACUGGAAUCGAACUGUUCAUCCUAUCCCACAUGUGUUGUGCAGAAAUCGAGCCGUAUUCAAACAUCGACGGUCCGCGCCGGACUUGCAGGUAGCAGUACCGAUCUGCCGGUGACAACGAUUUGCACGACCGGCUGGCUGACAGUGGUACCGAAUUUUCGCCGACUGCCACGCAUUGUUUGCAGGGCGUUCAGGUUCACUGAACGGCAGGCACUUGCCUGCCGUGAUGUGGUGAUGCGGGUAGAGGUCGCCGUCACGCUACAUCUACAGAGGUACAGGACCACGCCUACGCGUACAGCGACCAUUCACUAGCUUCGACAUGGGAUUUAAGAUGUGACACGGAGCUGACUUGUCAACAGCACGUUUGAAUUUUAUUCCCAACGAGACCGUUUUUUUUCUGCGGUGCCUCGAGAUUAUACCUGGCCAUGGGAAGCCCGGCCCGGCCGUCCCGGCCCGACCCUGCCCCCGGGCCGGGCCCGGGCCUAGAUUUGAGCCCGAAGGCCGGGUCGGGCCGGGCCCGUCAUUUCUGCAUUUUUCUGAAGGUCGGGCCGGGCUCGGGCCUAGAUUUGAGCCCGAAGGCCGGGUCAGGCCGGGCCCGUCAUUUCUGCGUUUUUCUGAAGGUCGGGCCAGGCUCGAGCCCAGAAAACGGGCCUGAUGGUGGAGCCAGGCCGAGCCCGGGCAUGGAUUUUUUGCGUCGGGCUUGGCUAGGCCCGGCCCGAAGCCUGGCCUGGGCCGAGGUAUGGCCAGGUAUACUCGAGAUAUAUAACAAGCCAAACGAGCUAAGAGCAUCUCUAGCCAAUCCCUUAAUAACAACUUCACAAAAUUUUAUGUUUUGAGAAGUUAACCAUAUAUAACCGAACCCUCAAAGCGAACAAGUUAACUCCUAAACCCAGCUCAACUCUCUCAAAUUUACUCGGGCGCGACUACUUCUAAAGAAGAAUAAGUCUCUCCCAACUCCCACCUGAGGCGCUUCCUCUUCCUGCCACCGCCGCUAAUGUCGUUACUGCCGCCACCGCAGGUCCCGACUUCGACAGGAGUGGAACCGCAUGAUCUCCUCCGCAACCCCGUUGGUGCUACACCGCCAUCCACGCCAAGGAAGCAACUGGGGACGAAGAAUGUGGUGCGGCCCGUCAUGUCGUCAACAAAGGCUAACGGCGGCCGCGAUGACGACCGCUCGUGCUCCGCUUGCUCCGCCCAGCGGCAAGGCAAGGAAGCCGGUAAGGCCCUCACUGAGGCGGCGCGAAGAAGUAAAAAGAGCACAAAGAAGACAUCCAUACCGACAUCGUGCCUACUCCAACAAUGCUCUUCGCUUUGAGCACGAAAUUGAAGUAAUCAUCCUCUGCCUCCUCUCUAGUCUUAAACCCUUCAUAACAGUUGUUUUUGUAAUCAUACACUUGUUCAUGGCAUGUCUGUCAUGAAUCAUACACUCAUGGACACCUCCCUAUGUACAUCACAUAUAUCACUUCAUCUACCAAGAUAGAGGAACAAGCUUUCAACAAGCGGGAGAAGAUACACAAUGUUAGAAGAACACAUGGAACAUAAGCAUUAACGAUUCAUGAUUCAUAUACACAAAAGCAUCACAAGUUCUACUCAAGUUCGGCUCUGAGUCGACAUCGACAACUACAUUCUCUACACUACAAAAAAAUACACUUCCGUGAUGAUACGUGUUUGUCACAGUAGGUCGUGUUUUUUGUCAUGCAUGUACAUCCAUGAAGAUUUUAUGACAAAAUCAAGAUAGUCAUAAAUGUGCUGUCGUAGAAGUGUUCCAUGACAUUACCAAAGUUAUCAUCACGGAAGUGUCCACUUCCAUGACGAUAAAUCGCGCGUUACAGAAGUGCUUUCGUCAAGGAUGACCGACACGUGGCAUCCAUCGUAACGGAAUGUCGUUAAGCUAUCGGGUCGGGGUUUGGAUCCGAUAACCCGUUAACAGCCCCGACCAAUGGGGAUUUUCCACGUGUAAAAUCAUCAUUGGCUGGAGGAAACACGUAUCGGCUCAUCGUUGGGACAGAUGUCAUCCACUCAUUGGACAAAAGGCGCCUAUGAUACGUCGACACGUGGCAUGGCCUAACAGUGGCCCAUUCCUGUGAAAAGGCCGACCCGUUUGACUUGGUCAAAAGGUGACGGGCCGGCCCAUGGAAAGCCUGUUAACGUAAUGUUCGCAUAUAGCCCAUUUACAGCCUGCUAACCCAAGGCCCGUUACGCCCUAUCCGAAUUAGGCCUAGUAGCAUCAUCUGGGCCAUCCAAUAUGAUUCCAGACCGUUUUCACUUCUGGCCCAGGUAUGACCCAUGACGUCUUUCGGCCCAUAUGAGGCCCUUUGUAACUAUUGGCCCAUUAACGGCCCGUGGUGAAACUGGCCCGUAAUGAACACUUUAUCACUUUACACCCAUUAACGGCCCGUGGUGAAACUGGCCCGUAAUGAACAGUGUAUCACUUUAUACCCAUUAACGGCCCGUUAUUCCGCUGGGCCGUUUCCAGCCCAAGUUAUCUUUCGACCUUCAGAGGGCCCAUUUAUUCUUGGGCUCAUUUGCAGCAUUCGGUUACUUACGGCCCGUUACUGUCAUGUUCUGCUUGUGGGCCAAAUUCAGCCCAUCGUUACAGUCGGCCCGUUUGUGGACUGUUAAUCUGUUGGGCCGUUUUCAUAGCAUCACCAAAUAUGGCCUAUUAACAGCCCGUUAUGGUCAGCCCAUAAAACGUACGAUUUCCAUUAAAGGCCCGUCUACGGCCCAUUAGAGGACCGUGCAAGACCCAUAAAUGAGUCGGCCUUUACAAGGCCCAUGGAUCCUACGAGACGUAGAAGACCCAUGGAUCCUACGAGACGUAGAAGGCCCAUGGAUCCUACGGCCCAUUGAAGGCCCAUGGAUCCUACGGCCCGUACAUGGCCCAUGGAUCGUACGGCCCGUGAAGGGCCAUGGUCGAGCGAGUUGGACCCCGUUUGAACGAUAUAGCAUAUUCAAAGAAUUAUCCUACUCAAUACUAUCACAUCUAAAAAGCAUACACUAUACAACAAAGAGAUCAAGACAUAGAAAGGUAGAAUAAUCCUACACUAUACAAUAAAGAAAUUACAGCCGAUUAUACCCACUGGGCAUUAUGGUUCGACACAUGUGAUAAUAAAGCAUACACAAAUAGCAAAUUACAUACACUGGGCAAAUACAGCUCAUACAUCAUGGACAUGCAUCAACUUAACUCCAUUUGAACUAUAAUCGAUUGGCCGGAUUCAGAUAGCACAAAUUUCAGUCUGCAAAAUCUCCAAUUUCUUCAUAGUUACCUAAGUGUCUUGUUUCAUUUUUUUACUCCUCCAUCUAAUACCUACAUGUCCAGUCUCAACUUGUUGAUUAAAUGUUGACAAUCAUGUACACGUUGUCUUGCCACCUCUAGUUGAUGCUCAAGAACAUCAGCACAUUCCAAUUCCAAUCCAUAAUCAUUCGGUAACGGCCAUGCCGCACUGCUCGCAGAUCUUUGUGUUGAUGUCACUUCAUCCUGAAAUGUUUCUGUAAGUACACAUGACUAGGGCAAAAAUAUAGUUACAACAGUGAAGCGAGCAAGACACUAUUUUGUACUACAUGACAAAACAGGACUAACAAUAAUGUUACAUAUCACUUUAAAAAAAAUGUUACACGUCAUGAAGCAUAAGUAGGUGGUAUUUUAAAAAUUAUAAAAAAGAUAGUCUGUGCAGGCUGCAUACAGAAAUCCCUCUUAGCUCACUAGAGGAGCAUGAUGUUGGGGCCCAAUCAAAAACACAGAUAAGUUACAAAUUUAGACAGCACGUUGCGUAUAAGUAAGCAAGCAGUUGGCCAUUCUGUAGCUCAAUUAAAGUCUUAUGGAGCAUAAUGAAUAGCAGAGGGUUUCAUACAAACAUACUACAGCAGGCAAAACUAUGCAAUCAUUAGCGUAGUAUAAACUAGAUUGUGAGCCACAUGCAAUAAUAGUUGGUUAAUAGACUUCAAAGCUUCAUGCACAUUUUGAUAGAGUAAUUAAAUGGUAAGGCCUUUAAUUAUGUCAACUAAUAGUUAUACAAGUACCGAACAUCAGACAUGAUUAUUUGGGCAUCUCAUUAACUGAGGACAAAUAAAGCAAUUGAAAAGAGCAAAUUAACUAUGCCUGAAACAAACAAGGAAUUGGACUGUUGAGUUGCAUAUAGUGACUUACCUUAGCAGGUUGAAGAGGCUCGGCGCAGCUCCUACUUCUCUUGCAAGGCUCCUUCCUAACAUCUUGUACUUGGAAAUCCUUAAUCUUAUCUUCAUUGCACCCCCUCUGCAAGGUGACACAAACUAGUUACUCGUCUCCUUGGAAGAUAAAUAUGCAUACUUUCCAGUCUGUGAACACAAAAGGAUGAGAUUAUAACAAAACACCACCACAUAAUGAAACAUGUCGCAUCUCUUGCACUUGCACACAAUGAAAUGAGCAUUUACUAUGUCUGCACUAUGUAAAAACUAGGCAUACCUUCAAACUGGAUCUCCUGGUACUCUUGGAGAGCCUACUGUAGUGUACAGCCAAACCUUUAUGUCACCUAUGAGUUAGAAAAGGCCCCACUACAGCAGCCCUUAGUGUUUAAAUCGUUGACAAGCUCUGUUAGAGUGUUAGGUCAAGAACAGCAAGUAAUCAAAGCAAACAGUCCUAGUAUGGCUGGCUGACGCAAACAAGCAAUUGAACAGAUGUGUGAGCAAAUCUUACAUAUCAAGAAAAGAAGCAAAGAAGAAGGCUUAAAGACCAUCACUUGACUGACCAGAUUUAAGGGGCAUUUAAACAUCAUGUGCAACGUAUGAACUAACGUAAACAUUGCAUAUUCCAGAUUCUACAAUGGAAUGCACAUGUAUUAGGUUAUGCCAUGUAUGAUGAUGCCUUAAUGUACAGAUAGCAGGCAGGAGUGAUUCAUCAUUGCACGCACAAUUGAAUUGCAGGUUAAGGGCCAGUUCGAUUCCGCCUUUUCAGGGCAUAUUGUCAAAAUAAGCCAUAAAAGAUGUAAAGAAGUCAUUUUUGAGUUAUGGGCUUGGGCUUAACUAAUUUCGCUUUGGAGAGGAGUGUUUUGGGUAGAACAUCACUAAUUGAAGGGAAGGGGAAUAGUGAAAUGACUCUGUUGUCUGCCUAUAUUACACUCAAAAUGCAACUGCUGACGCCCGUGUCACAUCUGACCCUCAAGUAAAAACAAGCACGCAAGCAUUCAUUGCCCUGCCUGCUUGCAUCUCCUCUUCCCUUUCCCUCUACCUCGAUCCCCUGCCUGCAGCACUAGGGUUCCUCCAGCGAGCCGUCGCCACUGGUCCCAUCUGGCCUGGUCCUCGAUGAUGCUAUGUCCAGCUAGGCUACAUGGCCGGCGGGUAGGGGCAAAUCUCCCUGGCUGCUCCUCCCUCUGGCGCCGCCCCUCAUUCUCAUGGUCUCCAGCAGCUGCUCCACUGUGGUUCGUCCAACGCACUACUCCGGUGGGCGCUGCACAACUACGCCUGAUGCCACACUACGGCAGAAGGCACCUUAUUCCCCCUCCCCUCCUCCCAGGCCAUGGCCUUGAGGUGUUGUUGAAGGAUGAGCUCAUCCAACAAGGUGAGGAUCUCCUCUGAUUUUUUUGCCAAAUUUUCAUUCUGAUCCACUAUACGAUGAAUUGCUAUGAGCUGCUUCUGCUGCUGCUAUAUGAUGCAUUGCUAUGAGCUGCUCCUGCUGCUGCUAUAUGAUGCAUUGCUAUGAGCUGCUCCUGCUGCUGCUAUAUGAUGAAUUGCUAUGAGCUGCUGCUGCUAUAUGAUGAAUUGCUAUGAGCUGUUGCUGCUGCUAUAUGAUGAAUUGCUAUGAGCUAUUGCUGCUGCAAUAUGAUGAGUUGCUAUAAGCUGCUCCUGCUGCUGCUAUAUGAUGAAUUGCUAUAAGCUGCUCCUGCUGCUGCUAUAUGAUGAAUUGCUAUGAUCUGCUCCUGCUUCUGCUAUAUGAUGAAUUGCUAUGAGCUGCUGCCGGUAUAUGAUGAAUUGCAGACUGUUGCUGCUGUAUGAUGAGUUGCUAUGAGCUGCUGCUGCUAUAUAAUGCUUUCAGGUGCUGCUGCUAUAUGAUAAUAACCAGCCACUUGUACCAUCGAAUUUUAAUAAAUAAUUGUUCUUCAUCUAAAUGUGGGUCAUGCGUUCUUCGUUUAAAUUAGGCAAUAGGAUCUCUAUGGAAAACAUUGACCAUAUGAAAAUAGUGAUGGUCUGUUUUCCUAUCAUAUUAAUUACUGCACUGGGUUCAAUUUGUGAUGUUUGCAAGUCAAAUUAAUUUCCAUAUGGGCAGCAAAAUGCAAAAAUAUAAUGCAAUCUGGACUUUCCACUGAUCAUACCAAAGAUAAGCUGAAAACGCAAUGAAAAGAAUGGGUUGGCUUAUUACAUGAAGCUUACAUUCACAGGUGCUUAUUUUGUUAUGAUAACUCGCAAUAAUUGUCCCUAAGAAACUUGGCUAAUAGAACUGACAUACAAAUAACAUGUCACGAUGAUUGCAAUGGAGGAGUGUCGUACCAUAGCACAUUGUAUAGGCUCACCGCUGCCUCUCCUUUUUUGCGAUGUUCCAUGAAAUUGCCACAUACAUCUUGUACUUUUUCAUUGUGUAACCCUAUCUGCAAGUUGACACGGCUAAUUUCAGACAUCUCUACAUGAUACUACAUUGCAUAUCCCUUGUGCAUAUUUAAACCACCAAUUAACGAUUGUGUGCGUACUAUAAACUAGCCAUGGCUCUGUAUGUUGGACUAGCAGGCACUCUAAGGGAGCCUAAUGUAGUGCACUGGAAUUCCUACAUGCCACCUACGAUUUUGUGUAAUGUACUGCCUCUAUUCCUAAAUAUAUGUCUUUGUAGAGAUUCCAGUACACCACUUACAUAUGUAUAUAGAUGCAUUUUCGAGUGUAGAUUCACUCAUUUUGCUCCGUAUGUAGCCUAUAGUGGAAUCUCUAGAAAGACCUAUAUUUAGAGACGGAGGUACAAGGUAGUAUCAUGUAUGACAUCUACAUAUCUAAUUUAGCAGCCAAUAGUAGAAAUCAUUGUCUGCACAAAGGGAUUACUAGUUGAAAAUCCUAGCAAAGCACGCUGGUAGGCACAGAACAAUACAAGAGGGAGAGACGCGCUUACAGGAUCAUAGCAAUGCCCCAGUCCAGGAUCUUGGUUGGCCAAGCUGUUAGAUCCAGAAGAAACAUUGUCCUUGUAGUUUUUGCUAGCUGGAUAACAGGUAACAACGACCGGUUAGUAUAUUUGAAGUACAUCGGGCAGGUGAUGCUGGGCGGGUUUAAAGGUGACAAGUACCUAGGCCGUGGCGGGUGCUUGGCAUCUCUCCAUGAUGGGAAUCAAGUUAGAAACGUCAAGGGUGAUGACACUACGCUGGCUGUCGGGGUCCGGUAAGGAGAUCUAGAACUGUCGAGUACGGUGUUUGUGGAGCGACCCUGGUAGGGUGGAAUACGGUGUGGGCGAAGCGGAUCUGUGGCCGUGGACGAGGGUGUAGGUGAAGCUGCUUUGGUGGUUGGGUUAAGGAUGGUGUCGACGACGCGGAUCUGCGGCCGUGGACGGGGCGUCAGAAGCUGCUCCGGUGGUUGGGUUAAGGAUGGUGUUGACAAUGCGGAUCUGCGGCCGUGGACGGGGCGUCAGAAGCUGCUCCGGUGGUUGGGUUAAGGGUGGUGUCGACGAUGCGGAUCUGCGGCCGUGGACAGGGCGUCAGAAGCUGCUCUGGUAGGUUGGAUGAGGGUGCGAGGAAGCGGAUCUGAGGCCGUGGACUUGUGAGUUGGCAAAGCGGCUCCGGUAGGGUUGAGAAUGGUAUAGGCAAAGCUACUUCGGUAGGGUUGACGAUGGUGUCGGUGAAGCGGCUCCGGUAGGGUUGAGGAAGGUGUCGGCGAAGAGGAUCACAGGCCAUCGACGGGGGCGUCGGUGGGGCGGCUCCGGGGGGUGUGGACGAAGCGUCUCUGAUGGGGAGUAUGAAUGAGCCGCUACAGAUGCGCGGCGGUUGACGAGAUUACCGGUGAAGCAGAUCCGGCGCCGUGGACAAGGCCGACACUGAAUGGGUUGUGGUACAGUGGUGGAUGAGCAGUCUACUUGUUUCUAGGGGAGGUGGGAGUGGUAGAUGCGGCCACAGAAGCAGAUCCGGCGAGGUGGACGCUGCUGGCAUUUAAUGGGCUAUGGUACGCCGGUGGAUGAGCUGUCUAGGGUUUCGAGAGGGGAGGGGAGAAAGGGCGAUGAAGUACGGACGGCGUGAUGUAAGAUGCUCUAGUGUUGUGGAGUUAGUCGUUUUUGCGGGAGGGGGAGAGGAAAUGGGGGUGCCGUGUAGUGGGGGGAACCGGAAGUUACCAAAGCAGCCCCGACCUAUCAUGUAGAUGAGGGCGGUAUUGUAACUGUUGGUCUCCGUGCACCAAGGACAAAAGGGGGAUUUCGCAUGCUAAAGACUAAGGUGGCGGAAAUUUUAGAAGGAGGCGGGAGAUUUUGCCACCCGCGGGAUCGUUCGUAUCCAGUUUCAACUAAUUUUGGACCAUGCUAGCGGGAAGGUCAUGAUAGACUGUGUACACGGGGCACGUGUCAGCAGUUAAUAACUGGUGUGAAGUCCACCCUAGAAAAAAAGACAAUAACUCGGGAUGAUGCGCCGAUAACUUGGACAUUCACACGGACGCGGCCAAUCAUACGGGUGUAGUGGCACGUUCAAAAAAAAGGGAUCAAACGCUCAGCCUAUGUAUUUCUCGUGUAAAUAGAUAAUUUAGUGCCAUUGGUUAUUUACUUUAAAAAUAAUGCAUUGACGUGUUAGUGUAGAGGCGCACACAAAUAAAUGGAUAUUGUAGUCAGCUACUUAAAAGUGUUACCUCAUAUGAUUACAUAGCCUCCAUUUCAUAAAUUGCGUACCCGUUGAAUUCAUAUAUGAAUAUUACAUAUAUUACUUCAAAAUAAAAACUUAAAUCAUCCAACACUAAUGAAUUUGAAUGCAAGAGUAACAAUGGUGCAUGUACAUGAUAGCUACAUUGGCAUGCACAAUGAAUUUGAAUGCAAGAGUAACAAUGGUGCAUGUACAUGAUAGCUACAUUGGUUGUUUGAAGAAACAUCACUGUAACUUUGGCAUGCACAACUGAAAAGGUUGAUUUAAAUAGAAAAAAAGUGAUAUGUGAGUGUCCAAUCUUUAUAGCGUUGAAUCGAUAUUGUACCUUUGGCUACAAUACGAAGUAGAUAUUGACUUAUGUUCAAGCGAUGCACGUCCACGAUCGCUAGAUAGUGAUACGUGAAUGAAUUGUGCAAUCUCUCUCACACGCAUACAUAUCUCAUUUCUCUGUGGGCAUCGGAAUCACACACGCGCACUUCGUGUAUUUCUCUCCCUCCGUCAGGGUUAAAUUCGUCUUUCUACCCCGUCCUACAAGUCUCUCACACAAAAACACACACGCUCUCUAUGUCUAACACGCCCACCCCUUAAUUCCACCCACCCACAGCCACUAAUGUCUCAAAGUAUAAUAAUGUCUCUCACACAUAUGCUAUCUACCUAUCCCUUAAUAUAGCUAGAUAUGUGUCACACAAACUCCUUCUCCCUACUAGCAAGAUGCCCAUGCGUUGCACGAAACAUCAAGAUGCAUUUGUAUGAGAAUUUUAUCUUGUGGGAUAAAAGGAUGAACGAGGGCCUUAUUUGCAAAUGCGGAGAGGGGUGUGGGUAUCUUUUUGCAAAAUUUCCAUAGUUUCCUCCCUAUCCAUCGGAUAUAAAUCGGAUGGCCUAUAUUGCAGGAUGACAGGAACACCAUCAUCAUCAACCCUGUUUUUUAUAAGAGUAGAGAUAUGUGAGUGUCACUGCCCCCCCACACACACCCACUCACACACCCACACUUCCCAACACCGAAGGAGUAGGGUGACACCUCGAUCUUGAUACUAAUCUAUCAACUGGCUUCUCUCUCAAACAUACACACACACUACCUGGCACCGAAGGAGUAGGGUGGCACAUCGAUCUUGAUAAUAAUCUAUCUACUCCUAUUUCAAACACACACACACGCACACGCACACACACACACACUCGCUAGUUGUGCCUCUAUGCCUACCGCGCACACUCUCGAUAUGUCUUUCUCUCCCCCCCAACAAUGACAACAGAAGGGUGACAACUCGAUCUGAUCAUAAUCUGUCAAUUGGUUUCUCUCUCAAACAUUGUGUCUCGGUGCCUUGCUCGAUAGCCCCCUCAAUAUGUAGACUUUUCUCGCGCGCACAGUUGUAGUGACGAUGACGCUUAACCCAGUGUGCCUUGUUUUUACCGGCCUCAUGUGAUAGUUUUCACCCUGUUUUAUGUUAAUUAACAAGGCAACCUUUUCUUUGUUACUACUAGUGAAUCUGGAAUCAUUCGGGGUAGACAUAAAAUAUAUCACUUCAACCUAAUUAUCGCAGCAACUAUUUUAAAAGAAAUUAGCUAGCUGCCCGUGCGUUGCAUGGAACAUCAAGAUGCAUUUGUAUGAGUAGUUUAUCUAGUGAGAGAAAAGGCUGAACGAGGGAAGGCCUUAUUUGCGAACGUGGAGAGAUGUGUGGGUAUAUUUUUGCAAAAUUGCCAUAGUUUCUUUCCUAUCCGUUAGAUAUAAAUCCGACAACCUAUAUUGCAGGAUGGCACGCACACCAUCAUCACCAACUCUGUUUUCUACUCCCUCCGUCCGAAAAUACUUGUCAUCAAAAUGGAUAAAAAGAGAUGUAUCUAAAACUUAAAUACGUCUAGAUACAUUUCCUUUUAUCCAUUUUGAUGACAAGUAUUUCUGGACGGGGAGAGUAUUUAUCUUUUUAGAGAUUUCAACAAGUGACUAUGACCGGACCUUACCAACAUACUCAAAAAAGUAGUCCAUAAUUUUGACGUUACCCUCUUUUCUUGGCGGUGCAGUGCCAUCUGGAUACCUCAUAAAUAAAUCAAGGACAAAUCUGACCCCUUCCUAAAAUAUGUCUACAUACACAUCCGUAUGUGGUAGUCCAUUUGAAAUCUGAAAAAGACAAAUAUUUAGGAACGAAUGGAGUAUAAGAAUAAACAUGGAGAUAUAUCUCCAGCAUGGUGUACAACAAAAAUGUGCUGGGCUGGUUAGCGCCGGAUGCUCGCAACGCGAUGACAUGAGUUUGAAUUCUGUCUUUUAACUUUAGAUUUUUAUAUUAUAUAUUACUCUACUUAUUUAAUAUAUACUUCUUUCGCUACUGUACUAAGAGUGGAACCCACAGAGUACUUAGAAUACAAGAUUAAGGAUGGACUUGUUUCUUUUUAAUUUUCUGUACGAAGUUGUAGCCACCCUGCAAGUGACGUGUACACUGUAUAUGCAAUUAACUUUUUAUAGAGGAACAAUCAUACAUGCAAUUAACUCAAAUGGAUUGGAUGUCACUCUAUUAUUUCCAGCAUAAAGAGCAUCUCCAACGGCAGCCGGCAAAUUUCCUCCUGCUUCCUUCCGGGGAGGACGACAUCAAACGCCAGCGGCAUACAUUUUUACAACUCUAACCAACCAGAUGAAAUUCAUGCAAACACGGACUGGUUUCAUAUAAGCAUGAAGGAUUUCGUAUAAAAAGCUGGAUCUUCAUAUAAACAUGAUGGACUUCAUUACAUUUACAUGAACUAAGAGGUGCCAAUCCGGCUCUCAUGCAUAAUUAAUACUCCCUCCAUCCGGAAAUACUUGUCCUAGAAAUGUAUGUAUCUAGACUUAUUUUAGUUCUAAAUGGCUGUCCGCGGAUCCCUUUGUCUUCCUCAUCUCCGUCAGACACUUGCGGGGUCGAUGAAGGUCCUCGGAAGAGACGAAGCAGCAAAGAAACCACCUGAAUCCGCAGUCGUCGCCUCGGUGGUGGCCUUCAUGGGUCCCAAGUGGCGGCGGCCUCCAGUGUUCUACUUCUCCUCGAUGAUGGCGGCGGACACGGAGAAGCUGGCCACCGACUCGUCGCUCUCCACGCACCCGGCUUCUGUCUCUGUCUACAUGGCGUUGCCGCGGGCAUGGGAGGCGCGCCCACAGACACAGGAGGCGCGGCCACCGCAGACACCGGUGGCGCGGUACGACUCGGCAACGACGGCGCCCGUACCGGCGUGCUCGCCGCCGUGUCGGUGUGGAGCAACUCGCCAUUCCUCAUCGAGCUGAACUAGAGCGGCGAGUUGCUGAACCACGCGCCUGCUUGGGGCGGUAACUGGCUCCGUCGGGCCAAGUGAGGUUUGUGAAGCACCGAGCGCCCUCGCCCGUAUUCGGAGGGCUCGGCGGGCCACCCACUUGGGUAAUAUGCCGGAGAACGGCUCAUCGGAAGCCAUCGGAAGAGUGGAGAAAAUGGUGAAGGAGGAGAUGGGGGAGCAGCGGAGGGGUGCGAUUCUUGCCCGCUGUCUGUCUGGCCUCGUGUAAAUAGAGGGCGGACGGUAGGAGCUUGGCCGACGUCUGGCCUCGUUUAAACUGAGAGCGGACGGGAGGAGCUCGGCCGGUGUUGCGUUUAAUUCUGGCCCGCUCAUAAACGGACUUGUGGCCAGAGUAGAAUUCUCGAUUUGCAUGCGGGUUUAACAGAGGGGUCUAAUGGAGGCGCCGACCGUGUAGCGGGUGGCGCAGUACUAUUCGAUUUGACAGCAGUAAUGAGCCGUCAAAUCACAAAGGCCCUCGCCUCUCAUGAAACCGACCGAGCUAGACUGCCCCGCCCUCUAGCCUUUUAAAAAAUGUAUAUACUCCACUUUUGUAUGGUAGUAGUAUCGAUGGAUUGCGCCAUGGAGCAAAACUUGAAAUUAAAAAAAAGGUGGUACAUAUAGAGAGCGCUCGUCACCAAAUUAUGCAUAUAGUACAAUUAAAAAGGAUUGUCACAAUAAUGGUGUCCAGCACAAGUGCACAACCCACCCCUCAAAUAAAACUAAGCACCCUGGAAUUCUUUGACAAAACUAAGCAUCCUGAAAUUCUUUGACAACUAAACUGCUGGCUAUAUGAUGUUGGCCAUAUAUAUUGUACGUAUAUAAUGUGAAGAAACGAGUGGUAGUACUAUACCAACUAAAAGAUGAAAUGUAAGAAAUACUAGUAUGUACGUACUGAAGAGUUAAAAUAACGAGAAGAAACAUAACAUAGUUCUGCUGGGGGCUCAGCACAACACGCCCCUCAAAUUAAAUUAAGCACAUCUGAAAUUAAACUUUGCAACUAUUCCGGUAGACACUGCAUUAGAACCACCAUGAGCAAUGACACUGCCACCUUACUCGGAGUCCUCGUCCAUGUCCUCGACUUCAUCCUUGUCCCUCUUCCUCUUGGUCGAUACUUCUUUGCUUGAACCGUACAUUUGGCUCUUGCUCUUCAUCCAACCCUUGUAGAUAUUGAAACAAAGGUAGCCAUCCAUUGCAGCAUAAUGGAUGUGGUCUAUAUCUAGUACAUUCCGCUGCCAUGCAUAACGAUGAAACGUGUAUGGAGGUUUCUCCAGUUUACCAUACGAAGGAUGAACCAUGGCUCCUGCCAGGGUCAACAUUGAAGGCUGACGAGAGGACACCAACCGAUUCUUCUGGAGGUCGAAGGUGUUGCCUACAACGAGGCCUAUCUGAUCCAGGACUUCUUUGUCGUUACCAAAGUCUAUAGUAAUGAAUUUAACUAGGUUGCUCUCGAGGAACUCCUUAAAAUCCAGGCAUUCAACAUCGGCAUGGCAUAUGUGGUAGACCAAGCAUAACUCAUGCACACAAACCUGUAUCACGGCAGGCUUCUUCCUCUCUUUAUCCUUUAGAUCCUUCUCUUGUCUCAGGACUAUGAUGUACUCAACAUCUAGCCCAGCGACCCACUCAUCAUCUGAGUCUUCGAACAUGCGUCUAAAGCGAGAAAGGCAUCCUUUCACCGCCGUGGAAGAACGGGUGUAGAUGACGUCAAACUCAUCGCCGGUGAUGGUUCUAACCUUGUACUCACCGCCGAUCGUGGAGAUUUGGGACGCCAUGGAUUUGGGAGGAGGGUUAGGAUUAGGGGAACUGCCAUAAUGUGAAAGGACGGGACGACUAGGAGCGAACCACCAUAGUAUUGAAGGACGUGCAGGGACGAGUAGGAGCGAACUGCCAGCAUGCGAACGGCAGGGUAGUGGCUUUCCAUUCUCCCAUGAUACGGGCUUCCAAGAGCCCUUGGAUCUGAGAUCGAACGGUUGCAUGGCGUGAUUCUAGACCUAUGGGUGAAUAUCCUAUCCUAGAGGGUUAUUCUGUAAAUUUUCAGCAACUUAGCAUGCGACUGUUUGAUCUCAGAUCCAAGGGCUGCCAGCAGCCCAUAUCAUGGUCGCGCCUACCAGGACCGUCGCGUCGCACGCGCGGUCGCGCCCUUGGAGAUUUAACACGGUGCAUUAGGCUAUCUGAUGUUGGCAUGUCAUGCAUAGUCAUCACUUAGUCACUCAUACUACAACAAGGUUGGCUAUAACUGUAUUUUUUACUCCUCUCUAUCUCUUUCUUCGUACUCCCUCUGUCCCAUAAUAUAAGAACAUUUUUGACACUAGUGUAGUGCCAAAAACGUUCUUAUAUUAUGGGACACAGGGAGUACUAGUAUUUAUUGCAUUUGCCAAGAAGUGACCUCUUCCAAUGAAAUGGUGUGCUUAUUAGUUUUUUGUUGCUAAGUUUGCUUCAUUUAAUUAUCUAUAGAUUCAAAAUUGUCUUUUCACCUAGGUACACACGCUUAGCACCGUUUCUUCCUUGGGUCACCAAACUAGUCUCUCUCUUCUUGAUUAAGUUGCCACAUCAGACUUUAUGCCUAUGUGGCAAGCUUAGCACCUGUAGGAGCAAGUAAGUACAAUAGUGCGCUUCACAUGGCAUUUUUGCAUAUGUGGAGGAAAGAGAGGCAAGGAAAAAGUGGAGAAGUGGGCUCUGAUGCAAGAGCCAGCCUCUACUACAUGGUGGAGCAUUGGGAGAGGCACCUGUAUGGAGGUGGUCAGGAAUCGGGAGACUCACGCCGGUCGUAGCACCGCAGUUAAAAUGAUAAUGGCAAGUCAAAUCACAGGGCCCCACCUGUCCAACAGUAACUCGAUGUCAAAUCACACAGCCCUAUGUUUGUAGCAGCCUACUCCCUUGUCUUCUCGCGUCUCUGUCGAACCGACUAGGCGGAACUGCCCCGCCUACCACGUAGGAAAAGCCCGCGCAGUAUACUCCCUCCGUCUAGGUGACCAAGGUGGAAAAGAAAACGAGAGAACUUAAUGUUUAGUAUUUGCUAAGGCUGGUUGUAAUGGUACUAGCCUUAGCAAUUUUGAUGAUGUGUCAUAGAAUUAAAUGAAGAAAGAGAGAGAGUUGAGUACUAUGUGUCAUACAUGGCAAUAAAUAAAGUACUACAUGAUACUAAUAUAUGAUACAUGGCGUAGGAGUACUAAGUACUACCUCCGUCCUGGUUUAUAGGUCCCCUUUGUAGUUUGUGCCAAAUUUUGACUAAAGAUUUAACUAACAAAAUGUUAAUGCAUGUCAAGAAAAAUUAUCUGAUUGGAUUCGUAUUUGAACAUAGUUUUCAAAAAUAUAAUGUUUGGUGACAUGCAUGAACAUUUUGUUAGUUUAAUCUAUGGUCAAAAUUUAGCACGAAAUACAAUGGGGACCAAUAAACCCGGACGGAGGUAGUAUUAUUAAUACAGUUUUGCUAGAACUCAUCUAGAUGAGAUAUAAUUUGGUCUCAUUCAUCUUUUAUAACCAUUGGAUGUGAUGCUAUAAGAUGCGUGUGUGCCAACGUGGGUUGUAUUUGUUCUUGUGCAACUAACUAACCACUGCAUGUCAUGUUUGAUAGUCUCAAGUCAUUAAAAGCAUACAAGCCCCACAUCUCUUAUUGGUUGAUUCCUCUAUUUAUGUCCAAAAAAAGAAACAACGUGAGAGUUAAUGCACCAUGCCUAUGUGUUUACUAUUUGGUUUUCAUAAGAUGACUUAAUACUCACCUAGACGGAGGGAGUAUUCGAUUUGACAGCGGGCGGCUGAUACAUCUCCGUCGUAUCUACUUUUCCAAACACUUUUGCCCUUGUUUUUGACUCUAACUUGUAUGAUUUGAAUGGAACUAACCCGGACUAACGUUGUUUUCAGCAGAAUUGCCAUGGUGUUGUUUUUGUGCAGAAAAUAAAAGUUCUCGGAAUGACCUGAAACUCCACGGAAUAUCUUAGGAUAAUUAAUAAAAAAUCCUCGCAAAAGAUGACGACCAGGGGGCCCACACCCUGUACACGAGGGUGGGGGUGCACCCCUGGGCGCGCCCCUACCUCGCGGGCCUGCUGGUGGCCCUCCGACGCCAACUCCAACUCCAUAUAUUGGCCUUCGGGGAGAAAAAAAUCAGAGAGAAGAAAUCAUCGCGUUUUACGAUACGGAGCCGCCGCCAAGCCCUAAUAUCUCUCGGGAGGGCUGAUCUAGAGUCCGUUCAGGGCUCCGGAGAGGGGAAUUCGUCGCCGUCGUCAUCAUCAACCAUCCUCCAUCACCAAUUUCAUGAUGCUCACCGCCGUGCGUGAGUAAUUCCAUCAUAGGCUUGCUGGACGGUGAUGAGUUGGAUGAGGUUUAUCAUGUAAUCAAGUUAGUUUUGUUAGGGUUUGAUCCCUAGUAUCCACUAUGUUUUGAGAUUGAUGUUGCUAUGACUUUGCUAUGCUUAAUGCUUGUCACUAGGGCCCGAGUGCCAUGAUUUCAGAUCUGAACCGAUUAUGUUUUCAUGAAUAUAUGUGAGUUCUUGAUCCUAUCUUGCAAGUCUAUAGUCACCUACUAUGUGUUAUGAUCCGGCAACCCCGAAGUGACAAUAAUCGGAACCACUCCCGGUGAUGACCAUAGUUUGAGGACUUCAUGUAUUCACUAUGUGCCAAUGCUUUGUUCCGGUUCUCUAUUAAAAGGAGGCCUUAAUAUCCCUUAGUUUCCAAUAGGACCCCGCUGCCACGGGAGGGUAGGACAAAACAUGUCAUGCAAGUUCUUUUCCAUAAGCACGUAUGAUUAUAUUCAGAAUACAUGCCUACAUUACAUUGAUGAACUGGAGCUAGUUCUGUGUCACCCUAUGUUAUGACUGUUACAUGACGAACCACAUCCGGCAUAAUUAUCCAUCAUUGAUCCGGUGCCUACGAGUUUUCCAUAUAUUGGUUCUCGCUUAUUUACUUUUCCGUUGUUACUGUUACAAUCACUACAAAAUACCAAAAACAUUACUUUUGUUGUCUUUACUUUUGUUACCGUUACCACCACUAUCAUAUUACUUUGCUACUAAACACUUCGCUAUAGAUACUAAGUUUCCAGGUGUGGUUGAAUUGACAACUCAGCUGCUAAUACUUGAGAAUAUUCUUUGGCUCUCCUUGUGUCGAAUCAACAAAUUUGGCUUGAAUACUCUACCCUCGAAAACUGUUGCGAUCCCCUAUACUUGUGGGUUAUCAAGACCUUUUUCUGGCGCCGUUGUCGGGGAGCAUAGCUCUAUUCUUUGAGUCACUUGGGAUUUAUAUCUGCUGUACACUAUGAAGAACUUGAAAGAUGCUAAGACCAAGAUUUUUUCCUCAACCACGAGGGGAGGUAAGGAACUGGCAUCUAGCUCUGCACUAGAUUCUCCUUCUGUUAUAAGUAAGCUUGCGAUGCCUAAACCUGCUACCGCUAUGAAUUCUGAUAUGUCGCAUGUUAUUGAUGAUGCCACUUCUAUGCUUGAUGCUACUGUGCCCCUUGGUGAAUUUCUUGAUGAGCAAAUUGCUAGGUCUAAAGAAAGAGAAAUUAUUGCACCUGAAUACAAUGAUGAGAGUGAUGAUGAAAAUAUGCCUCCUAUUCCUGAAGGUUAUCUUUUUGAUGCAGAAUCUUCUGCCGCUAUUUUUGCUUGCCAGGAUAGAUAUGAACUUAAGAGGUUGCUAAUUAAACGGGGUAAAGAAUCUCUUAGAGAUAGAAUGAGACCCGACCCUGCUUUUGCCACUUCACCUAUUUGUGUUCCCAAUAAGGAUUAUGAUUUUUUUGUUGAUCCAGAUAUAAUUACUUUAGUUGAAUCCGAUCCUUUCUAUGGCUAUGAAUCUGAAACUGUUGUGGCACAUCUUACUAAGUUGAAUGAUAUAGCUGCCCUGUUUACUAAUAAUGAGAGAUCGUGCUAUCUUUAUUUACUCAAAAUAUUUCCGUUCUCAUUAAAGGGUGAUGCUAAGAUAUGGUUUAAUUCUCUUGAUCCUGGUUGUGUGCCAAGUCCCCAGGAUAUGAUUUAUUACUUCUCUGCUAAAUAUUUCCCUGCUCAUAAGAAACAAGCAGCCUUGAGGGAAAUAUAUAACUUCAUGCAAAUCAAAGAAGAGAGUCUCCCACAAGCUUGGGGGAGGUUUCUCAAGUUACUUAAUGCUUUGCCUGAUCAUCCUCUUAAGAAACCUGAAAUAUUUGAUAUCUUUUAUAAUGGACUAACUGAUGCUUCUAGAGAUUACCUGGAUAGUUGUGUUGGUUCUCUUUUCAGGGAAAGAACACCGGAUGACGCUGAAAUUCUAUUGAAUAAUAUGUUGGCUAAUGAAAAUAAUUGGGCACCUCCCGAGCUACCUCCUGAGCCAAUUACUGAGCCUGUUCUUAAACCAACUCCGAAGAAGAGAGGUGUUUUAUUUCUUAGUCCCGAAGAUAUGCAAGAGGCAAAGAAAUAUAUGAAAGAAAAAGGUAUUAAAGCCGAAGAUGUUAAGAAUUUACCUCCUAUUGAAGAAAUACACGGUCUUAAUUUACCGCCUGUUAAAGAAGUAUAUGAUCUCAAUUACUUAUUUACUGAAGAACCUCCUGAUAUCCCGACACAGGUAGUAAAGGUAAAUUCUCUCUAUAGAUAUGAUAAAGCUGAAGUCCCUCCUACUAAAAUUGCUAGUUAGUGCUUGGAUGAGUUUGAUAACUUUAUGUUUAAGCAAGAUGACUUUAAUGCUUAUUUUGGUAGACAAUUAAAACAAGAUGCCUAUAUGAUUAAACGCUUGGGUGAUUAUAUGGCUGAUAUUAGAGGUGAACUUAAACUUGUUAGCAAACAUGCUUCUAUGGUUACCACUCAAGUAGAACAAGUACUUAAAGCUCAAAAAGGAGCGCUUGAUGAAAUGAAUAGUAAGAAAAAUGAUUAUGCUGUUAGAGUGGCUACUAGAACCGGUAGAAUGACUCAGGAACCUUUAUAUCCUGAAGGCCACCCUAAGAGAAUCGAGCAAGAUUCUCAGAGAAAUGAUAUUGAUGUACCGAGUUCUUCUACAAAGAAGAAAAAGAAAAAUGAUAGGACUUUGCAAACUUCUAGUGAACCUAUCGCUGAGCCACCUGAGAAUCCAAAUGAUAUUUCUAUUUCUGAUGCUGAAACACAAUCAGGUGAUGAACAUGAACCUAGAGAUAAUGUUAAUGAUAAUGUUCAUGCUGAUGCUCAACCUAGUAAUGAUAAUGAUUUAGAAGUUGAACCUACUGUUGAUCUUGAUAACCCACAAUCAAAGAAUCAACGUUAUGAUAAAAGAGAUUUUGUUGCUAGGAAACAUGGUAAAGAAAGGGAACCAUGGGUUCAGAAACCAUGCCUUUUCCUCCGAAACCAUCCAAGAAAAAGGAUGAUGAGGAUUUUGAGCGCUUUGCUGAAAUGAUUAGACCCAUCUUUUUGCGUAUGCGAUUAACUGAUGUGCUCAAAACAAAUCCUUAUGCUAAGUAUAUGAAGGAUACCAUUACUAAUAAAAGAAAGAUACCUGAAGCUGAAAUUUCCACCAUGCUUGCUAAUUAUACUUUUAAGGGUGGAAUACCAAAGAAACUUGGAGACCCCGGAGUACCUACUAUACCAUGCUCCAUUAAAAGAAAUUAUGUUAAAACCGCCUUGUGUGAUCUUGGAGCCGGUGUUAGUGUUAUGCCUCUCUCUUUAUAUCGCAGACUUGACUUGAAUAAGUUGACACCUACUGAAAUAUCUUUGCAAAUGGCUGAUAAAUCAACUGCUAUACCUGUCGGUAUUUGUGAGGAUGUGCCUUUUGUGGUUGCAAACGUUACUAUUUUAACGGACUUUGUUAUUCUUGAUAUUCCUGAGGAUGAUAGUAUGUCUAUUAUUCUUGGAAGACCUUUCCUUAAUACUGCAGGGGCUGUUAUUGAUUGCAACAAAGGCAAUGUCACUUUUCAUGUUAAUGGCAAUGAACACACGGUACACUUUCCGAGGAAACAACCUCAAGUUUAUAGUGUCAACUCUAUUGAAAAAAUUCCAUCAAUUAUAUUUGGAGGUUUUGAAUUUCCUCUCCCUACUGUCAAGAAGAAGUAUGACAUACUUAUUGUUGGGGAUUUUCAUAUCCCCGUUGAGGUAACUUAGUGCUAUUCGAAAUUUCUCCGGUUCCGUGUUAAUCGGAAUGAGCUCGUUAACAAGACUUGAUCAACCUUGUUAGUGGAUUCAUUUUGAUGAUCACGAGAUGGAUGAAACUAGAAGCACAACCUUCUGUACCCUCUUUAUAUUUUUUGUUAUUUAGUAGAAAUAAAGUAAAAUAGUACUUUUCUGUCUGUCUCCUGACUUAUCCGUACAAUAUAAAAAUAUCCCGAAAAUAAAAAGUCCUCAGAAUGCCAUGCCAAUUUUAUAUGAUUUUUUCGGGAAUAUUUAAGAAUUUACUGUGCAAAAAUCACCGCGGGGGGAGCUGCCACCUGGCCACAAGGGUGGAGGGAGCGCCCUACCCCCCUAGGCGCGCCCCCCUGCCUCGUGGGCCCACGGUGGCCCUCCUGCACUUAUUCAUGCACCCAUCUUCUUCCUCUGCCUCACACAAACACGAAAAACCAACCCAAGCACGAGUUCCAGCCCCGUAGCUGUGAUUUUCGAUCUCCUUGCUCAAAGCACCUCUCACAAAACUACUUGGGGAGAUUGUUCCUUGGUAUGUGACUCCUCCAUUGGUCCAAUUAGUUUUUGUUCUAGUGCUUUAUUCAUUGCAAAUUUGUGCUGCAUAGGUGACCAUGUUCUUAAGCUUGCACGUCAAAUUUAUAUGGUUCCAAUUAGUACCAAUGCUUUAUAUAGGCUCUAGGCACUUGCAGGAGUUGUUGCUACCAAUUUUAUUGAAGUAGGUUCACUUUUAUUUGAAGUUACUAAAAGUUUCAGAUUGUUUCAGAAUUUAUGAAGAGAUUUUUGAGGGGCACAUCGAGCCGAAGCUCGAAGGAAAAACAAAAGGAAGAAGAACAGAAGCCCAAAUUUAAUUUGCCUCGCACCGCGGAGGUCCGACCGUCUAAAUGGCCUUCUGAUGACUUCUUGAGGAGAGCUGGGAUUUAUGAAGAUUUCUAUUUAUUAAUUGAGAAUGCUGGCCUCACCAAUUUCCUCCGCGACCAACGUCAUCAGUAUCUCGUACUCACAAAUACUUUUGUGCAAAAUUUAUACUUUUUCCCUAAAAGUUCACCUCCAUCGAUAGAAUUUCAUUUAUAUGACGUUGUUAAGAGAAUGCCUUUAGCUGAAUUUUGCGAGGUUUGCAAAAUACCUUUUGAGGGCACCUUGGAUGAAUCACACCGUAACGAAAUAGAAGCUUUCAUUAACACUAUCACAGUGGGAGAAACCAGGAAGGUUUCCGAUGCACGAAUCACUAGCAUACAUUUUCCUGUUUUACGCUACUUUGCCUUAUUUGCUAGUUGUUGCCUGAUAGGUCGCGGAAACUGUGGAAACCUUAGUAUUCCUGAUGUUAUCAUUUUUUCCAUGGUUUAUAUCGAAGUAACUCUGUUAGUUUGGGUGGAAUUUUUGCUAGGCGGUUAAGUCUGAACCGUACUAAAGGCCCCAUCUUUGGAGGCAUUUAUGCCUCACGCCUAGCUGAACAUUUUGAAAUACCUUUUAGGCAUGCGGAGGAAGAGGAAACAUCGCUGCCUCGUGCUUAUUUAGAUUAUAGGAGUAUGCUAGCGCAUGAUUUUCUUGUUAAAAGCCGCGAAGGGGAGCUCAAAUAUAAAUUGUACUUUGAUAAACACCACCCUGAGAUUAUUACUUUGCCUGCUCCCUCUUUGUUUAACUUGUCUGCAGGUCCUCACAUCGUUCCGUGGGCGGCCAUUCAAGCCUAUCGAAAUCCUGCACCCGCCUCGGAACCGGAGCCACAAGAUGAGCCUCCACGACUAUCUAUUUAUUCUUGGGAUCCAGAGGAGGCUGCCAGCCAAUGGCAGCCGGAGCCUUCUUCAUCACAGUACGACCCCAACUUCACUUAUGGGUAUACGCCAGGCCAUCCUUGGCAAUAGACUAACUUAGGCCAAAAGCCUAAGCUUGGGGGAGUACGUAUUUCCCACCGACAUUACAUUCAUGUUUACACACACUCAUUGCUAGAUGUCGGUGUUCAUACUCUUUCACUGUAAUAUCCAUGCUAGUUUAUUUUCUUUUUCCUGCUUUCUUCUUGUGUGUUUAAUAAACCUUAAGAAAAACAAAAAAAAA
rnacentral:lncRNA from 1 species